CAAGAAGCAGUGACAGAGCAUGUGGGUUUAGGAGAAACAGCAGCAUCUUGAGUUGUAAUUCCAGGCAAUUUUCUGUUAGCAAAGAAAGGCCUACCCAUUAACAUCUGAUGUGUCGUAAAAUAAACAUGGAAUUCAGACCAGAGGAUAACAAUCCUGAAGGCAGUUAAUACACCACUGGGGAGCCCUGUGCCCUAUGACUUUUCACGAGGAUGCCACAGUAGUGUGUACAGGUCAGCGAGCUCUCC
rnacentral:lncRNA from 1 species